UUGUAGUGUGGGGCCCAAAACUGGACACAGUACUCCAGAUGAGGCCUCACCAAUGUGGAAUAGAGGGGAACGAUCAUGUCCCUCGAUCUGCUCACUAUGCCCCUACUUAUACAUCCCAAAAUGCCAGGAAUCACUUAACAGACAAAAGAGCUUGGAAGGCUCCAAUCCACAUAAGAAGUCUACCUGAGGAUGUUCAGGGUAGCACUUGGGUAAUGGCUGCUAGCUGCAAGUCCUGAGUCAUGCAUGGGCAUGUGACUUGCCCAUGUGAUUCCAAAUCUCCAUUUUGUGCCUGGGUUCUACACAAGGGGAGAGAGGGGUGUCCACCCAGAAGAGAAAGUCUAUUUAAACCCCGGGGAUACCCCUCCAUUUGGUCUUCAGCUGGCUUAAGUUAGAGCCUCUCCAGCCCAGGAUACCUGAAGGAAACUGGAACAAUGGACAGUGACUACAGGGGGGGUGCGAGUGAUAGCUGGACCCAGACUAAAAGAAGUUUAGUCUGAAAAAGGAGACUCACUGAAACAUCUGAGCGUGAGGACAGUAUUCAGUUUUUAUUUACUGUAUUAGAGAUAAAUCUUGGUGUUUUGUUUUAUUUUAUUUGGUAAUUCACUUUGUUCUGUCUGUUACUACUUGGAACCACUUAAAUCCUACUUUCUGUACUCAUUAAAAUCUCUUUUUACUUAUUAAUUAACCUGGAGUAUGUGUUAGUACCGGGGGCAGGGGAGGGGGGAACAGCUGUGCAUAUCUCUCUAUUAGUGUUACAGAGGGCGAACAAUCUAUGAGUUUGCCCUAUAUAAGCUUUCUACAGGGUAAAACAGUUUUAUUUCGGGUUUGGACCCCAUUGGGAGUUGGGCAUCUGAGUGCUAAAGACAGGAACACUUCCUAAGCUGCUUCCAGGAAAGCCUACAGCUGUUAGGGGACGUGGCUCAGACCUGGGUCUGGCUCGGAGCAGGCUAGCGGGUCUGGCUCAAACCAGGCAGGGUUCAGGUGUCCUAGGCUGGAAAGGGCAGGAAAGCAGGGGCAGGAGUAGUCUUGGCACAUCAGUUGGCAGCUCCUAAGGGGUUUUCUGUGAUCCAACCCCUCACAGUGGCGUAAUCGAGCAGGAUCUGUGCACAGCUGAUUGCUUUGAGAUACUGGUGGUGAUUUUAAGUGAAGUUUAAGUGUGGUGGCUGGAGAACAGAUGAAGUGGUUACUGGUUUGUUAUUUUCUGUUUGCUUAUUUCGGGUAAGGAAAAUAGGGACAGAAAAGGAAGCACAAUAAGUAAGAGUGAGGAUCAGAACAAGCUAGAACUGUACAGGUUGCAAAUUACCCAGAAAGGCUGAACACUGGGCGCUGCAAAAGUCUCUGUUAACUAAGAAGCCCCUGAGCUGAGUGCAUCCCAGUUUCAGUGAACUACAGAGGGAGUGUGGCCCAGUACAAGAAAGCAGGAAAAUGACUACCAGUGAAGCAGCUACUAAACUAGAGCUGGCUAGACUGGAAGCAGAAGAGUAAGAAAACGAACAUAAGAGACUUAUCAAAUUUAAAAACAUUAGAAAUUAAUGCAGCAGCAGACAGAGAAGAAGAUGCCCACAAGACAGCUAUGGAGGCAGAAAGAGCCAAAGAGGAGGCUUCCCUCAAGAGAGAGAUGGAGGCCUAGAAGUAUGAACUGGCUGUUAUGGAGUCGAGGAAACAAACCCCUCCAGCUGCUGGCUCCACUUCCCCAAAAAUCCACAGAUGGGCGCAACUAAGCCCCCAGUAUGAUGAAACCAGCGAUACUGCCAAAUAUUUCAUCACCUUUGAAAGACUGUGUGUACCCUCCAUGCAAUCCCUGAAGAUCGAAAGAUGACCACAUUGAUAGCAAAAUUGACUGGCAGCGCUCUGGACAUAUUCAGUAAGAUGCCUAUUGGUGAUGCUUCAAACUAUGAAACAGGACUAAGCCAUGACUGGACUGUCAGACUGGAGAAUGGGACCCGGCUCCCUUCACCUGGAACCCGGAUUUCUCCUCACUUCAGAGAAACUUGUUUGUGGUGGAACAAGGCUGGCCGUUUGGACUGCUGGACAGAACAAGCCUUCAGGCUGAAAAGCGAACAACCUUUCUCUCCAUUUCAGCAAAAAACAACAUUCAACAAACCCCCACAAAAACAGGCACCUGAAAAAGUCCUGCCCCCGAUUUCACCUUUCCAAGGUCUUCUACGCACACUCUCCCGCCCCGAGUGAGAAUCCUACACCUUGACCAACAAACCACAGUCAGACCCAAAUGCAGCUCUCCCUCUGCAGGAUGUUGGAGAAAAGCACAGGUGAAAAAAACCUCCAGAGUCAGCUGCAAAUGGAGCCUUGGCAAGGACUUGGUCGAAAUUUGAAGCCGGGAUCUCUUGCAUCCUAAAGGAGACUUACACCCUAGUCCAACAAAUCAUUUGGGAACUCUAAGAAAACCUGCAUUCCACAGGAGUUUCUAAAGACAAAUGACCAGCCACACACCCAGGCAGAAGAAGCCUGGGAAGGUACAACAGCAAACACACCCUGGGGGAGGCCUUGUCCGGGAGCUGCAGCCAGGCCCUCUGGCACCUGAAGUGAGACUCGGACCCUUACAGCAACAAGCCACAUUUGGCCAUUGCUGAAAUUGUUAGGCCUCAGAGUUUUGGGCCAGAAACCAACAGCCAAAUCUAGCUGUAAAACUGAACCACUUGGAAAUGACAGGUUUCAGAGUAGCAGCCGUGUUAGUCUGUAUUCGCAAAAAGAAAAGGAGUACUUGUAGAGACUAACCAAUUUAUUUGAGCAUAAGCUUUCGUGAGCUACAGUAUGCAUCCGAUGAAGUGAGCUGUAGCUCACGAAAGCUUAUGCUCAAAUAAACUGGUAAGUCUCUAAAGUGCCACAAGUCCUCCUUCACUUGGAAAUGGCACUUCAAGCGUGCCACAAUACCAUAGGCAACAGUCUGGGUGUGCGCUGUUGGCUGCCGAGAGGUAGAAUCCAGUGCCUGCGUCUUCACUUCCCACGGAGAGAUAUUUUGAGCCCCCAACAAUUAGGGGAAGAACAGGGAGAUGAAAAGCCAAAGAAAGUUUCAAGAGUUCUCCUUCCUGGCUGAGCUGGGUGCGCUGUCCAGGUCACGGAUGGUCAUUCUGGGGAGGGAUGUGGGUCUGGUCCAGUUUGGGGGGGUUGUUCUGGGGAAGGAUGUGGGUCUCAUAUAUUUGGAGGUUUGGCCCAGAGCCCAGUCUUGUGGGGGCACAGCUGGUAGUCCUGAUCCUAGUCUGUCUGCCUCUCUUCUGGCAGAGAAGGUCAAGCAGGUGAGUAUGAAUAAUGAUGCUGUAAAUAACAUGUAAUAAAGUCUUGGAUGUUUUUUCUUUUAAAAAUGUUUUAACGGUUUUCAAUCUGCCCCAAUUUCAUCAGGCCCCAGUAGUUCCUAUGAGAAAUGUGAAGGAUGAGCUAUUGUAACUGUUCCCUCUUAGUGGGAGCAACAGCUGGCUGGUGUUUUGGCUGCUCAGGCUUUUGUUAGCUGGUUUUACCCACUGUGUUUUCUUUUGCAUGUAUUCUUUCAUAAUGUAUUUGAUGUACCUGUGUGUAUUUGAUGUACCUGUGUUUUUCCCCUAAGGCACACAGCUGUACAGGUUUUAUCUACAAUCUUUACAAGUUGAAGUUGCAGAUGGAGGGGGCUCCCAGCAAUGGCAGCCUUGGGGGGGUGGCCGUGGCUAGAAGCUGGGGGACUGGAUCGGGACCCCCUACCACUUACUGGUCUCUCUGCCCUGCAGUUUUAGUCCCCCCAGAUUAGCCUGAUUAUCACAACAAAAGUUUUUUUUCUGCUGCUGCUAAUAGCCCACCUUAAUCAAUUGGUCUCGUUAAGAGUUGGUAUGGCAACCUCCAUUUUCUCGUGUUCUCAGAUUAUCCAAUCUUCCUACUGUAUUUUCCACUGCAUGCAUCUGAUGAAGUGGGCUUUAACCCAUGAAAGCUUAUGCUCAAAUAAAUUUGUUAGUCUCUAAGGUGCCACAAGUCCUCCUCACUAGCUUUUCCUGACUGAUUGUGCUGGGGGCUCUGUCUGGCUCCAGCGCUCUGGUCCCUCAGCUACCAGUGCCACCUGGGAACCCUGAUCAAUUCCAGCUUUAAGGAGUGCUGAGAUCCAUCUCUCUCUUUCUCUGGCUCUCUCUAGGUAUAGCCUCCUGACCCUGCCUUAUGUGAUCAGUUGUAGUUUGCUAGCCCUAACUUUUGUAAUCAAAUUUAAGUUAGAUUUAAUCUUGGAACGGUUUUGUUUGUUUGGCUCCCCUUGUAAGGUUACUACCUGGAAAUAAAUAACUUUCAUGGUUAAGCUGAUUGGUCUCCCCCAUCAUGGGUGUGUUUGGCUUUUCCAUUCACUCUGCAGCAAUGCUCCUUGG